UACGAGUGCCCCGAGCGUUAUCCGGAAUUAUUGGGCGUAAAGGGUGCGUAGGCGGUUUGGUAAGUCUUAUGUGAAAUCUAUGGGCUCAACUCAUAGUCUGCAUGAGAAACUGCCGGGCUUGAGUAUGGGAGAGGUGAGUGGAAUUCCUGGUGUAGCGGUGAAAUGCGUAGAUAUCAGGAGGAACACCUGUGGCGAAAGCGGCUCACUGGACCAUAACUGACGCUGAUGCACGAAAGCUAGGGGAGCAAACAGG
rnacentral:rRNA from 1 species